rnacentral:rRNA from 1 species
AACGUAGGUGGCAAGCGUUAUCCGGAUUUACUGGGCGUAAAGCGUGUGCAGGCGGGGGUACAAGUGGUGUAUGAAAUUUCCCAGCUUAACUGGGAAGGGUUAUGCCAGACUGUACUUCUGGAGUGCGAGAGAGGGGCGUGGAAUUCCCGGUGUAGCAGUGAAAUGCGUAGAGAUCGGGAGGAACAUCUGUGGCGAAGGCGACUGCCUGGACCAGCACUGACACUGAGGCACGAAAGCGUGGGGAGCAAACAGG